GUCCAAAGUGUUGAGUUCAGUUCUGGGCACUUCCCCAGUCCUGGUAAUUUAACUUUGGUACAGAAAAUCGGCUUGAAGUACACAGUUUGUUUUGAAGUGGUCGUGUUUGCCAUUUCAUUUGGCUCAAGCCAACAAGC